UACGAAGGGGGCUAGCGUUGCUCGGAAUUACUGGGCGUAAAGGGCGCGUAGGCGGACAGUUUAGUCAGAGGUGAAAGCCCAGGGCUCAACCCUGGAAUUGCCUUUGAUACUGGCUGUCUUGAGUACGGGAGAGGUGUGUGGAACUCCGAGUGUAGAGGUGAAAUUCGUAGAUAUUCGGAAGAACACCAGUGGCGAGGGCGACACACUGGCCCGUUACUGACGCUGAGGCGCGAAAGCGUGGGGAGCAAACAGG
rnacentral:rRNA from 1 species